rnacentral:lncRNA from 1 species
CUCUGAGCACACCACCUGCUCCGAAAGACCUAGAAGCAAUUUAAGAAUUUCAGAAUCUGUAAAUCACCUGGGGCUGAUAGACACUGACAACAUCUUUGCCUUGCCUGACAUUCCAGCACAGCUGAGCACUCCGGCCAUUCCCAGUCUGCAAAGAGGGCAAAGAGCAAGAUGAUCCCUGAGACGAGCUUCCGCCCGCUGCUUCUCCCGGACCAGAUGCAAGAGGAAAUAGAAAGUUGGGAAUAUGAGAGAGGGAAGAAGAACGGAGGGCAAACCCAGAACCAAAUCUUGCCAUCAGGUCAGCCCCGCAACAGUUAAUGCCCUGAUCUGUUGCCAUGGAAACAAGACCUCUGUCAGACUACGCGGCUGGUUCCAGGGGCAUGGAGUAUACCUCACCCUUCACUUUAUUCAGCUCCAACCAAUUACAUUUCAUUCAGAAAAAUCUUCAUUUGGGGAGGUUCUGUGCAAAGCAUUUCUACAUCAAAUCACAGUACAGGACAACCCCUAAUGAAUGAUGAACAGAACAGUUUCCUGACCAACCGGCAGCCCGGCCCAUUCAUUCUGAUUGCAAGACGGGAUAAGAAAUUACUCUGCGACCUUUGAGUAAAUAGUGGGGGAGAUUCUGUAGAGCAGUUUCCAUCAAGCAAUUUGUAAUCAAGCAAACAUCAUUAAAGACUUUCUCCUGGCCAUGUUUCCUGAACUCUGCUGAUCUUCAAGGCAUCAGAAUAAACAGGUCCAAUUAAAGAAAACA